CUUUUGUUCUGGCGGGGACUCAUUG
rnacentral:piRNA from 1 species